GACGUAGGGCGCGAGCGUUGUCCGGAUUUAUUGGGCGUAAAGAGCUCGUAGGCGGCUUGUCGCGUCGACUGUGAAAACCCGCGGCUCAACUGCGAGCUUGCAGUCGAUACGGGCAGGCUAGAGUUUGGUAGGGGAGACUGGAAUUCCUGGUGUAGCGGUGAAAUGCGCAGAUAUCAGGAGGAACACCGAUGGCGAAGGCAGAUCUCUGGACCGUAACUGACGCUGAGGAGCGAAAGCAUGGGGAGCGAACAGG
rnacentral:rRNA from 1 species